rnacentral:tRNA from 1 species
GCCCUGGUGGCGAAAUUGGCAUACGCGCUUGGUUUAGGACCAAGUCCUUCGGGGUAGAGGUUCGAGUCCUCUCCAGGGCACUA